UACGUAGGGUGCAAGCGUUGUCCGGAAUUAUUGGGCGUAAAGAGCGUGUAGGCGGCCAGGUAGGUCGGUUGUGAAAACUAGAGGCUCAACCUCUAGACGUCGACCGAAACCAUCUGGCUAGAGUCCGGAAGAGGAGAGUGGAAUUCCUGGUGUAGCGGUGAAAUGCGCAGAUAUCAGGAAGAACACCCGUGGCGAAGGCGGCUCUCUGGGACGGUACUGACGCUGAGACGCGAAAGCGUGGGGAGCGAACAGG
rnacentral:rRNA from 1 species